UACGAAGGGGGCUAGCGUUGUUCGGAAUUACUGGGCGUAAAGGGCGCGUAGGCGGCCUCGUCCGUCCGGCGUGAAAUGCCUGGGCUCAACCUAGGAAUUGCGCUCGAUACAGCGAGGCUAGAGUGUGGGAGAGGUUGGUGGAAUUCCCAGUGUAGAGGUGAAAUUCGUAGAUAUUGGGAAGAACACCGGUGGCGAAGGCGGCCAGCUGGACCACAACUGACGCUGAGGUGCGAAAGCGUGGGGAGCAAACAGG
rnacentral:rRNA from 1 species